UUACUGAGUGAGGGCCUUCGGGCUCGACCUCCAACCCUUUGUGAACACAACUUGUUGCUUCGGGGGCGACCCUGCCGUUUCGACGGCGAGCGCCCCCGGAGACCAUCAAACACUGCAUCUUUGCGUCGGAGUUUAAGUAAAUUAAACAAAACUUUCAACAACGGAUCUCUUGGUUCUGGCAUCGAUGAAGAACGCAGCGAAAUGCGAUAAGUAAUGUGAAUUGCAGAAUUCAGUGAAUCAUCGAAUCUUUGAACGCACAUUGCGCCCUUUGGUAUUCCGAAGGGCAUGCCUGUUCGAGCGUCAUUUCACCACUCAAGCCUGGCUUGGUAUUGGGCGCCGCGGUCAAUCCGCGCGCCUCAAAGUCUCCGGCUGAGCUGUCCGUCUCUAAGCGUUGUGAUUUCAUUAAUCGCUUCGGAGUGCGGGCGGCCGCGGCCGUUAAAUCUUUCACAAGGUUGACCUCGGAUCAGGUAGGGAUACCCGCUGAACUUAAGCAUAUCAAUAAGCGGAGGAAAAGAAACCAACAGGGAUUGCCCUAGUAACGGCGAGUGAAGCGGCAACAGCUCAAAUUUGAAAUCUGGCGCAAGCCCGAGUUGUAAUUUGUAGAGGAUGCUUCUGGGUAGCGACCGAUCUAAGUUCCUUGGAACAGGACGUCAUAGAGGGUGAGAAUCCCGUAUGUGACCGGCCCGCACCCUUUACGUAGCUCCUUCGACGAGUCGAGUUGUUUGGGAAUGCAGCUCUAAAUGGGAGGUAAAUUUCUUCUAAAGCUAAAUACCGG
rnacentral:rRNA from 1 species